rnacentral:tRNA from 1 species
UAGUUCAAUUGGUUAGAACAUUAAUUUCAUGCAUUAAAUAUGAGAAUUCAACUUUCUC